rnacentral:SRP_RNA from 6 species
CAUCGGUCCCCCCGCAUUGAUUAACCGUUAACCCGGUCAGGCCCGGAAGGGAGCAGCCGUAGCGGUGACAUCGAGUGCCGGGGUGUGGCUGGUGGGG